AUAUUUUUGCAUGGUCUGGAGAGAUUAGAAUAUGUUUAGAAAUCAAUUCUAUAGGUUUCUUCUCAUUAAAAAAACAAAACAAAAAAACCUAAAAAGGGGUGACUCUUGCCCAAAUGUAUCUUUCACCUUUUAAAGGUUAAGAUUGAGCCUUUCAAAACCCCAUUCUAAAAUGAGAGGAUAUGAUAGCUAAUUUGAUCAUCACAAAAAUAUACUCAUAGCUUGAAGCCAAAAGGUGUUUUGGUUUUUUUCCAUUGAAAACCAAGAAUGGCACCAAGCAAAUACUUGUGUAAAAUAGGGGGGUUAGCACUAUCUAGAUUUUUCUAACCACAUGGCCUUCCAUUGCAGGGCCAUUUCAUCAGAAUUACAGCUGGGUAGGUUGUUCCCAGAUUCUUCUGACCAGAUUCGUCUGCUCAACCUAUUCCAAGGAAAUUGGAUCCUCUGCAGUGAGAACUUAAAAUGCUCUGUCCAUAUUAAGGCUAGUUCACUUAGUGAAUUUAGCCACUUUUUUAAAAAUGGAUUUGAUUGCUGUCUAGAAGAUCCAUACCAAGUCUAUAUCCUGCUGGUCCUGAACUUGAAAUGGCAUUCAGAAGGAAGUUAA
rnacentral:lncRNA from 1 species